rnacentral:misc_RNA from 1 species
GAUGCUCUGGAGAUGAGGUCAGGACAUAGAGACCAUGAAUCUCAGUAGCAACUUGGCUUAUGAUUUUUUUUAAUUCAUCUGGAGGAGCAUCAACGCCAUAUGCAGCAGCCACCGCCAUUCUGGCAUCAGCUUUUGGAAGAGUAGACUGGGACACGGCCAAAUCACGCAAACCUUGACAUAUCAACUGAAAGCUGCAAACCUUGUGAUU